GUGAAAAACCCGUUCGCUGAAAGACCAAGGGUUCCAGUCCAACGUUAAUCGGGGCUGGGUGAGUCGACCCCUAAGGCGAGGCCGAGAGGCGUAGUCGAUGGGAAAUUGGUUAAUAUUCCAAUACUUCUGUGUAAUGCGAUGAGAGGACGGAGAAGGUUAAGUCAGCCUGGCGUUGGUUGUCCAGGUGGAAGACCGUAGGCAUGCAUCUUAGGCAAAUCCGGGGUGCUCUAUGCUGAGAGUCGAUAGCAAGCUGUACUUGUACAGUGAAGUGGCUGAUACCAUGCUUCCAGGAAAAGUCUCUAAGCUUCAGUUACACAGGAAUCGUACCCGAAACCGACACAGGUGGUCAGGUCGAGUAGACCAAAGCGCUUGAGAGAACUCUGCUGAAGGAACUAGGCAAAAUGGUACCGUAACUUCGGGAGAAGGUACGCUGCUGACGGUGAUGGGACUUGCUCCCUGAGCGGUUGGCAGCCGCAGAAACCAGGCCGCUGCAACUGUUUAUUAAAAACAUAGCACUCUGCAAACACGAAAGUGGACGUAUAGGGUGUGAUGCCUGCCCGGUGCUGGAAGGUUAAUUGAUGGGGUUAGCGUAAGCGAAGCUCUUGAUCGAAGCCCCAGUAAACGGCGGCCGUAACUAUAACGGUCCUAAGGUAGCGAAAUUCCUUGUCGGGUAAGUUCCGACCUGCACGAAUGGCAUAAUGAUGGCGGCGCUGUCUCCAGCAGAGGCUCAGUGAAAUCGAAAUCGCUGUGAAGAUGCAGUGUACCCGCGGCUAGACGGAAAGACCCCGUGAACCUUUACUGCAGCUUGACAUUGAACUUUGACCUUACUUGUGUAGGAUAGGUGGGAGGCUUUGAAGUUGGAACGCUAGUUCCAAUGGAGCCGUCCUUGAAAUACCACCCUGGUAAUGUUGAGGUUCUAACUCUGUCCCGUAAUCCGGGACGAGGACCAUGUCUGGUGGGUAGUUUGACUGGGGCGGUCUCCUCCUAAAGAGUAACGGAGGAGUACGAAGGUGCGCUCAGCGUGGUCGGAAAUCACGCGUAGAGUAUAAAGGCAAAAGCGCGCUUAACUGCGAGACCCACAAGUCGAGCAGGUACGAAAGUAGGUCUUAGUGAUCCGGUGGUUCUGUAUGGAAGGGCCAUCGCUCAACGGAUAAAAGGUACUCUGGGGAUAACAGGCUGAUACCGCCCAAGAGUUCAUAUCGACGGCGGUGUUUGGCACCUCGAUGUCGGCUCA
rnacentral:rRNA from 1 species